rnacentral:misc_RNA from 1 species
AACUUUUGGCAACGGAUCACUUGGCUCUCGCAUCGAUGAUGAACGCAGCGAAAUGCGAUUCGUAUUGUGAAUUGCACAAUUCAGUGAAUCAUCGAAUCUUUGAACGCACCUUGCGCCCCUUGGCAUUUCGAGGGGCACACCCGUUUGAGUGUCGUGAAAUCAUCAAAACCUUUUCCUUUGGGAAAAGGAUUUUGGACUUGGAGGUUCCAUGCUCGCUUUCUUUUGAAAGCGAGCUCCUCUCAAAGGAAUCAGUGGUGUCCGCUUUGCCGAUCCUUGACGUGAUAAGAUGCUUCUACGUUUUGGAUUUGGCACUGUCCCUUGGACGCCUGCUCCUAACCGUCCCCAUGGACAAUGAUGGUGCUCCGGUCGACCGCGGCUGGACCCACGAAAAGAAAACCUUGACCUCAAAUCGGGUGAGACUACCCGCUGAACUUAAGCAUAUCAAUAAGCGGAGGCU